rnacentral:rRNA from 1 species
GAUGAACGCUGGCGGCGUGCCUAAUACAUGCAAGUCGAGCGAACGGACGAGAAGCUUGCUUCUUUGAUGUUAGCGGCGGACGGGUGAGUAACACGUGGAUAACCUACCUAUAAGACUGGGAUAACUUCGGGAAACCGGAGCUAAUACCGGAUAAUAUUUUGAACCGCAUGGUUCAAAGGUGAAAGACGGUCUUGCUGUCACUUAUAGAUGGAUCCGCGCUGCAUUAGCUAGUUGGUAAGGUAACGGCUUACCAAGGCAACGAUGCAUAGCCGACCUGAGAGGGUGAUCGGCCACACUGGAACUGAGACACGGUCCAGACUACUACGGGAGGCAGCAGUAGGGAAUCUUCCGCAAUGGGCGAAAGCCUGACGGAGCAACGCCGCGUGAGUGAUGAAGGUCUUCGGAGCGUAAAACUCUGUUAUUAGGGAAGAACAUAUGUGUAAGUAACUGUGCACAGCUUGACGGUACCUAAUCAGAAAGCCACGGCUAACUACGUG